UCCUUCACUCAGGUGGUGCUGCUGA
rnacentral:piRNA from 1 species